rnacentral:misc_RNA from 1 species
AUAUACAGAUUUGGAGUAACUGUAAUCGUUGUGCAUUAGCCUUUGGAAAUGGCGGACAGAAGAGAGCUAUGUGUGGGAGGGAAACCCAUUUCAUCCUUACGUGUUGUUGAUUUGAAAGUGGAACUUGAAAAAAGGAGUUUGCCGAAAUCGGGAAGUAAAAAGGAUUUGCUAGAGCGACUCAGAUUGCAUCUGCAAUUGGAGGAAGACCGUGAGGCUGCCUUGCGUGAUGAAGAACAUGUUCCCAAUCUCUCGCUAUGCAAUGAAACUGAAAAUGAUUUCAUUCGUGAAUACUUGGCUGCUCAGCAGGCCAGGUUCCAAGUACAAAGAGAAGCCAAGAAACAGUAUGAAGAAAAGAAGCGAGAAUCCGAGGCCAGCGCAGAAGAAACUACCCAAGACGAGGAUGAGGCAUCUGAUGUAUCCCCAACCAAAAAAUCUCCCAGGAAAGCUAUGAGGCCAAAGAAAAAGGAGGAUUCGACAUCUACGCCAAAGGCGCAUAAAUCUUCGCUGGACUUUCAGACACCGGAUUCAAUGCCUUACUCUACGCCACCGCAAGAAAAGCGGGAUGAAGACGGAGCUAGGCAAGAGAGUGAUACGACAGGGGAGGAGGAAGAAUGUAUGACUCCUCAGACUCGCAAACAUAAACUGCUUAAAUAUGUGCAGCAACCCUCUGCCAGCAAGGAUUCGAAUCCUGGUAAGUCAGAUACUGGGCAAUUUUCAAUCGCAGACCAUGUGGAAAAGUAUCAGGGAAGUGGGACAUCGGAGAGACGAGAUCCGCCGCCUUCUAGUCUCUAUGGCGAAGCCAUUAAUCUGAAAGUGGAAAGCAAGAAGGAAACUUCACCUGUUAAAAGUGAAUCUUCGCCUGUUAAAAAAGAAUCUUCCCUGGUAAAGAAAGAAUCUUCGUCCGUAAAAACUGAAACUCCUUCGCCGGCUAAGAAAGAUGAGAGGGCAUUACGUGGUCAAAAGACACGUAGCGUUAAAGCACCACCCGAGGAAGUUUCUGAUGAGGACGAGGAAGAAGAAGAAGAAGAAAAAGGAGUUUUCCCACGUCUUGUCGAAGUAUGGUCAGAAAAAGAAAGAGAGGAAGAAGCCGCAGCUUCAGCUGGAAAAUCUGUAGUACAAAAGUCGGAAAAACUUACAGAAGACAUUAAAUCGAUGGAAACCAAAGAGGACGGCAUCAAACCUCACGUUAUUAACGUGAGUUCCUCUGAAGAAUGUAAAAAAGAAUCUCCAACGGAUACAGCACCGUGUGAGACAGACCCUUUAGAGGAUACCACCACAGCGACUACCGCACAAACAGUUUGCGUAAAAGAUGAAGCAAAACCGGUAAAAAAUGAAAGCGAAACAGAAACACCAGCAGCAGACGUAGCUGUUGAGAAAAAGAACGAUCAGGAAAACUCAGAAGAAAUGAUAGUUGACGACUCCAAAGCAGAUGAUGCGGUAGACAUCACCAAGGAAACCAAGAUAGAAGAGGCGGGUAAAAUUUCAGAACAGGCGGUUGUAGAAAACAAAGUAGAAGACACAAAGACAGAGGAACUGGCCAUACCUACGACGGUUGAGGUGGCUGAAACCGAAACUGUCGUUCAAAGUGAACCUGCCGCCAUCGUUGUUGAAUCGGCUUCUUCUCCCUCUAUUGAUGAGUCGACCUCUGUUCCAGCUAUUGUUGAUGCGGCUUCUGUUCCCGCUAUUGUUGAAUCGGCUUCUGUUCCCGCUAUUGUUGAAUCGGCUUCUGUUCCCGCUAUUGUUGAAUCAGCUUCAGUCCCCACCGUUGUGGAAUCAGCUUCUGUUCCCGCUGUUGUUGAAUCAGCGUCUAUCUCAGACGUUGUUGAAUCUGCAUCAACCGCCGAUAUCGUUGAAGAUGCUGACAAAACUGUGUUGCCUGUCACAAUGGAACUACCGGUUGCAGAUCCCGUAUCUGUAGAAAAAACAAGUGUUCCUCCAGAAACUUCCGUUGAAGAUACUCCUAUCAGUGAAUUGGAGCCCGAGACCAAAGUGACGUCAGCUAAUGACCCGGAGUCUGUGAAAAAUGAUGAGACCGAAGUGGAUAAGACUGACGACGUCAGCAAACCAAAGGAUUCGGAGAAGGACAAUAUCGAUUCAUCACCAGAUAAGGUUGAAACCACAAUGGCUGUCGAGAACGAAUCUCCAUCGUUGAUCAAAUCCGAUGUAUGUGAGGAACCCGUUGCUAAAGUAGAGGAAGUGUCUGAGGAGCAACCAACUGAAGACAAUGAAGAAGAUGAACUUCAGAUGGACACCACUGAAAUAAUUGAUGACAGCUUAAAGCUUACAGCACCUGAAACAGAAGAUGUUGCAGAUAAUUGUGAACAAAGACAUAGAAAAUCAAGCUCCAAAUCCCCCAGUCCCAGGCAAAGUAGUCCAGAAAGGGAGAUAAACAGAAAAAGAAGCUUAUCACCUCAUGAUAAAAAGCAGCAAUCUGAUGCAGCACCUCAAAAUGAAACAACAAAAGGAGAUACAGUUAGAAAAUGGAAGAUCAGGAAACAGCUUCCUAGUGCUGAAGCAGACACAGCAGAAACUGAAGCGCCCAAGAAACGAAGAUGGGGAACUAGCCAGCUUCUGCCUACUAAGAAACCUGCCUUGGUUAUUUCUACAGAUUCUCUGAAGACACUUGUGCCAGAUGCUAAACCUCUGUCAGCUGAAGAAGUAAGGCUUGGCAGCCCCAAUUUUCAACCACCAGUAAAACCCACUGUUAACCAGACACCAGAAAGUGAAGACCAUCAGUUACCAGCUGCCGAUAAAAUUGCCAAAGUGGAGAACGUAAGGCGAGUAGCGGUAGAGAUGGCGGUCGAAGCCUUCGCCCCGGCUAAACCUGAGGCUGUCAUGGCGGCUGCUGCUCCAUUACUGGAAGCUACUAGCCCAGCUCAGCAGCCUCGCUCAUCCGUCCUUAAUGUCUCUAAUUUGGUCAGACCGUUCACUAUUAAUCAGCUGAAGGAGUUGCUUGCUCGUACCGGACACCUUGUCGAGGGAAAGUUUUGGAUUGAUAGAGUAAAAUCCUCGUGUUUGGUCCAGUAUGCAACAGAAGACGAAGCUGAAGAAACUCGGGCUGCCUUACAUGGAAUCCAUUGGCCUACAUCAAAUCCCAAAACUCUUCUAGUUGACUACUCAACUGUAGAAGAUUUAGAGAAUCGCAUGUCGGGCAAAGAAUUAACCAACCCACCCGUAGCGAAAAUUGAACCAAUUAUGCGAACGGCUACAGCAACUGUUCACCCCCUCGAAACAAAGCGAGACAAAGCUGAAAAAGUGCGCGAAUGGGAUUUGGGCAAAACUGGUGACCAAGGAUUCGAAAAAGAGCAAGCUAUUAAAGGAGCACAUCUUAUUGGAGAAGACGAAGAAGUCAAACCCAAAGACGAAACGCCUGCAAAACUGCUGGAUGAUUUGUUCCGCAAGACAAAGGCGACUCCUUUCAUUUAUUGGUUGCCUCUGACAGCAAGUCAGAUCGCAGAAAAGGAGGAAAUGCGCCGGCAAAGGCUUGCUGAAAGAGAAACGCGUUUGAAAGAAGUUCAACAACGCAGAGACGAAGAGCUGCAGCAGCGACAGCGUGAGAGAGAGAAACAGCGUGAAAACGAGCGUGAAAGGCAGCGCGCGCGUGAAAAGGAACGCGAGAAAGAACGCCAACGCUCUCGCAAGCGCAGCCGAUCGUCGUCUAGAAGCUCUUCGAGCACUACCUCAUCAAGUCCAAAUAAGAGAAGACACAGCAAAACGCCUCCGCGCAAGAGAUAAAGAUGACGAAUGUUUAACAAUCUGCAGUCACUACACUGGUUGGUUCGGGGAAGAGCACGAUAGGCAGGAACCAAUCAGCAGCAAGAUGACUACCACUUCUCUUGAAUUGGGAAACGAGUUCUCGAAUUGUCUAUCGUAGCGAGCCAUCCAAUCUAAACUCUCUGAACGGGAAUUUUAUAUCUUUCAGCAGCCGUUCAACUUGUGUGUGUUAACCCCUCAUUGUCAACGAGGAUCUUCGAUUGAUUAUGGAAAAGGCAGAAGAUGUCACGAACAUUACAAAAAGAACCUAUGCGAAGAUUUCCUUUAGUUUGAAAUAUGGGCACUCGGAAAAGUACCUUGAAAUGUUGUCACCAGGUUGCAUUCUGGUGUCAACCGUCACACAUGACACAUUCAACCCAAGUGUUCUGUUACGGGUUGAAUUAUGCCUGUUUAUCCUCCUCUCUGUAAUUGUCAGACUAUCACACCAUAAGUAAGUUCCGACUGGACUUCUAAUUACAAAAUGUGGUUCGAUUGGCUGGCGUACAAAUUCCAAUCGGUUAAAAAGGCAUCCUACACUGUAUUACGUAAAUACAAAGUAAUGAACUCUA